GCCCCGCGUUCUUUCCGGGGUCUCUCCGGAGAUGAGGGCGGCAGGGCAGGGGGUUCUCUCCCCGCAGUACCAUGCUGAGAAAGCCUGGGUUCGUAUGGCAAGUUGGUUCCUUACAAUUCACUACGUUACGCCGCGUCUCUAGCCCCCUUCUCUCCCGCAAGACGUUAGAAAAAAGCGAAGGACUCAUCACUGUCUUAACAUUUACUGGGCUCUUGCACGGUGUCGGGCGAGGAGUUACUCUUCAAUAAAAACGGACACUCCUGAGGAGCUGAGUCAAGAUGGCACAGCGGGAAGACCCUGAGUUCACCUCCUCUCACGGGCACACCAAAAAUGACAACUAUUUAUAGAGCAACUAUUGAUGAGAAAGACUGGAAUCUACCGGAAAAGAUGCUCUACAACUAGAAAUAUAAAGAAGGAACCUCAACAAAACAGGUGUGGUUGGGGGAGGAUGUGGUAUAGUCAAGACCCAUAUCCCUGAAUGGGCAACCCACAAACAAGAGGAUAAUUACAAUUUCAGAGUUCUCCCCAAGGAGCAAGGGGUCUAAGCCCCACAUCAGGCUCCCCAACCUGGGGGGCCUGCACUGGGAGGACAAGCCCCCCAGAACACCUGGGUUUGAAGGCCAGUGGGGCUUGAUUUUAGGCGACCCAGAGGCUGUGGGAAACAAAGACUCCACUUUUAAAGGGCUUUCACAAGAUCUCACACCUUCUGGGACCCAGGGUAGAGCAGUAAUUUGAAAGGAGCCUGGGUCAGACUCACCUGCUGAUCUUGGAGAGGCUCCUAGAGAGGCAGGAGGCAACUGGAGCUCACCCUGGGGACAUCGACGCUGGUGGCAGCCAUUUUUUGAAGCUUGUUCUGUCACAUGGACACGGGUGCUGGCAGGGACCAUUUUGUAAUCUUCCCUCUAGCUUAUUAGCCUCAGGACUGCCCAGCCCUGCCCACCAGCCUGCAGGCACCAAUACUGGAAUGCCGCAGGCUAAGCAACUAGCUGGGGGGGG